rnacentral:rRNA from 1 species
GACGAACGCUGGCGGCGUGCUUAACACAUGCAAGUCGAACGAUGAACCCGGAGCUUGCUCUGGCGGAUUAGUGGCGAACGGGUGAGUAACACGUGAGUAACCUGCCCUUGACUCUGGGAUAACUGCUAGAAAUGGUAGCUAAUACCGGAUACGACCCUCGGUGGCAUCACCAGGGGGUGGAAAGAAUUUCGGUCAAGGAUGGACUCGCGGCCUAUCAGCUAGUGGGGGAGGUAACGGCGCACCAAGGGGACGAAGGGUAGACGGCCUGAGAGGGUGACCGGCCACACUGGGACUGAGACACGGCCCAGACUCCUACGGGAGGCAGCAGUGGGGAAUAUUGCACAAUGGGCGCAAGCCUGAUGCAGCAACGCCGCGUGAGGGAUGACGGCCUUCGGGUUGUAAACCUCUUUUAGUAGGGAAGAAGCGAAAGUGACGGUACCUGCAGAAAAAGCACCGGCUAACUACGUGCCAGCCGCCGCCGUAA